AGUGAACGCUGGCGGUAGGCCUAACACAUGCAAGUCGAACGGCAGCACAGUAAGAGCUUGCUCUUACGGGUGGCGAGUGGCGGACGGGUGAGGAAUACAUCGGAAUCUACUUUUUCGUGGGGGAUAACGUAGGGAAACUUACGCUAAUACCGCAUACGACCUACGGGUGAAAGCAGGGGAUCUUCGGACCUUGCGCGAUUGAAUGAGCCGAUGUCGGAUUAGCUAGUUGGCGGGGUAAAGGCCCACCAAGGCGACGAUCCGUAGCUGGUCUGAGAGGAUGAUCAGCCACACUGGGACUGAGACACGGUCCAGACUCCUACGGGAGGCAGCAGUGGGGAAUAUUGGACAAUGGGCGCAAGCCUGAUCCAGCCAUACCGCGUGGGUGAAGAAGGCCUUCGGGUUGUAAAGCCCUUUUGUUGGGAAAAAAAAGCAGCAGGUUAAUACCCCGCUGUUCUGACGGUACCCAAAGAAUAAGCACCGGCUAACUUCGUG
rnacentral:rRNA from 1 species